rnacentral:lncRNA from 1 species
UUUCAUAGCAAAGAUGCCUUUAAUAAAUGUGAUGACAUGUUUUUUUCAUAAUAUGUAGGACCAAUCCAUCCAUCUUCUGCAAUGGCUUUAGCCCAGUUAUUUAAUAUUUAGUUAAAUUCAUUAUCAUCAUCUCUUUCCAAAGAAUUAGGUCUUUUUCCAUAAAUUAAAUCAUGAUUUUGACAUAUUGCGUCAACCAUUGUUGUUGGAACAUAAUCCAUUGAUAGUUCUAUGGACAACAAAAGUUGGACUAGACAAAAGUUGGACUUCUAAGUUCAACAAGUUGGACCACAACUUAUCCAUAUCGCUUGGGAACUGAGUUUGGCUUUUAGGCCGAAUUUUAGGAAGGGGGUAAGGAACAAAGGGAAAGGUGGCAAAAAAAGAAAAAGGAGCAAUUGGCCACUGGUCAUGUCUUCCCCCUCUCCCCCGCCAAAAAAAAACAAAACAUGAAUAAAAUCAGACAGGCUGUCUGGCACGAGAAAAUUCAAUAAGGCUACCUACUUAAAAGCUCAUUGCAGAUUAUUGGACUAGUGAAUAAAGGCAAUUCCUUUGAAUUUGGGGGGUUCUUUCUCCCCACCUUUUGCUUCGUUCCAAAAGAGGCUUAAAGUCUGCGGUGAAUAGAAACAAGAUAAGUAAAUGAAGAGACGUGGAGGUAGACGAUGAAUAAGACGACAAGAAAACAAUGCAGGAACCAAGGAAGAAGAGGUAGUUGAGACAACCUGUAAAAUACCCUCCUUUAAGGAUUCAAGAGCUGUUUUUUCCCAUCUCUCAAGUAUUCACGACGGAGAACUGAUGAAAAAUCUCUCGCAAUCUAUUCCCGUGCAAUCAAAACUCCGACUACUACGAGGCGGGUCUCGUUCAGUAACCUGCGACUUGUGUUACAGAAUGGAAUAUUCUGAUGGAAGUUCUUAAAUCAGAAUCAAACAAGCAAAUAAUCACAAAAGUGGAAGUGACCUAGCCAAAAUUGUGAAACGCAUUAUGAGGGGAGUCGUGACAGACAAAUUUGAUGCUAGUUAUGUUGGAUGGAUGGGACAGCAUGGCAAAUAUACUGUG